rnacentral:rRNA from 1 species
UACGUAGGGUGCGAGCGUUAAUCGGAAUUACUGGGCGUAAAGCGUGCGCAGGCGGUGAUGUAAGACCGAUGUGAAAUCCCCGGGCUUAACCUGGGAACUGCAUUGGUGACUGCAUUGCUGGAGUAUGGCAGAGGGGGGUGGAAUUCCACGUGUAGCAGUGAAAUGCGUAGAGAUGUGGAGGAACACCGAUGGCGAAGGCAGCCUCCUGGGCCAGCACUGACGCUCAUGCACGAAAGCGUGGGGAGCAAACAGG